GAACUUAUUUGACUUUAUUAAAACGUACAUGAAUUUAUUUGAUCCAAAACUUAAUUUUGGACUUAUUUUACCCUCUACUAAAAGCAUAAGGAUUUAUUUAGACUUUUUUCCAAUUAUCAAUAUCAGGUCAGUGACCAUGUACGAUAUACCAAAAAGCAAAGAGCAACUCAUUUGAAAGAGCAAAGGCAAAUUCCAGACUGCAUCUAACAGAGAGUUUUACACCUCCUGCAUAUGUUUAUUAUCUAUCAGCAGUCAGCAUCCUUCGUCUGCAUUUCCACCAUUGAAACAUCAAGCAAAAAUUUAUAUAUGCUUUCAGACAUUUUCUUGGAUAUUUAGGCCAGAAAAGCAAAUAUAUCAAUCUGAUGCAAAUAAGUGUUGUGGGUUUGGAGGCGACUGAGAAAGAUUUUGCAGUCAAGGACCUUGCUUACAAUGGCGCACUAUGCAUUCUUGUCUGCAACAUUCCAAAAACAAAAACGCUACAUUCAAUUAUCUCCCACUCUAUCCACUUACAAGCAAAAUACAAUAAAGGCAUUGGGCAGAAAAAUGUAUGUAUGGCUAGCCAUGAGAUUCUAUUAAAUUCUAUUAAGCUAACCUUUUGAUUGCAUUUGUUUUCUCAGAUCUUUAAGAGGGCCAUAAGUUGUCUCUUUAUUCUUCUCUUUGCUACAGCUACAACUACUAGUGUUCAAAUUUGCACCACACUUGAGGCACAGACCUUUGCAGCUUGGUUCACAUAUCGUAUCGAUGGUAAUUUCUACAUGUACUAAGUCUCUUAUUUGCUUUGAAAUAUCAACUUCCGUUUCUUCAGGAGGAAAGUGCAACCUGUCAUCCCAAUCAAUUGAUGCAUCAUCAUCAUCUUCUUCUUCCUCACCACUUGCCACAGAAGAUUUAAAUCUAUCUUCACCAAAGAUCACUCCCAUAUUGAUAAUCUCUGGUUCUUCAGUGGGUUUCUCGGUUAGUAAUAGAGAGAAGUUGGAAAAUAUGCUCUUGGCAGUUGGUUCACCGCACCUGUUGCAAUCUAGAGUGAUAACAGUCUUGACAAUCCCAUCAAGCCUCCACUUUUGCUUCUUCCUUGUCACAUCAAUGGAGAUCUGAACAGGAGUUCCAAGUGGAUAAUCCUUCACAGCUUUUGUGACACGUAAUCCCAUAAUUGAAGCCCUUGACUUUGAAAUCUCAGUUGAAAGUUUCUCUAGGCCCAGCCUCUCCAAGGUUGUACAGUACUCUAAAUGUGAAAUUGAAGGGUUUCUCUUGUAAAUUAAUGCACCAUUCCAUGGUGACCCUAUAUCUUCAGGGUCUUCUUGCUCUUGAUCUUCCCAAUCAAAAGAUACAUCAGUGAACAUCUGAUUGUUAGGGUCCAUGGAAUCUCUUGCAGUUAAGUUUUGAAUACUGCGUGAAUUGUUUCCAAAGAUUUUACAUAUAUCUCCCAUACUAACCCAUGAACAUUUGUAAUGAACAAUGGAAAACCUGGGAUUGGACAAAGAAUUCUUCUGAUAUACCAAAUUGUGCACCUUGAAUUUGUUAACAACUGAGUUUGGAGCUAUUGAGGAUGUGAAGAUUACAGAUGACAUCUUUGUUUCCUCAAGUCACCUAGGAGGAUUUGUGUAAGCUGUAUCAGAGAAGAGUCUAUUUCCCAGCAGUCUCAUCUAACUUACACCAAUUUGAAAACUCAAGAAUACUCGGUUUUUCAAGUAAUGGUAGGAAAAUUAAGUUGAUAAAGUUCUUUUGAGAAUAGUGCAAAGUAAAAGAAUAGAAACUAUGACAAUCUUUGGGUGUUGAAAAAAAAAGCUCAAGGACAACAGCAAUGCAAGUAUGCAACUUCAAGAUCAUAUAGGACAAUGCAACUCCAAGAUUAUAUAGGACAAGUCAUGCCAAAUCCAGAAGAAAUUCAGAUGGUAGCAACCAAAACCUGCAAAAACAUAGCUAUGUGUAGUUGUAAACUAAAAGUAACAAGAUAAAAACAACAUACUUUUCUACACGAUCAAUAAAACACGCUACCGACAGAUUUUUUUUUCUGCUGGAAAAAUUUUUUCCAAAACCAUUGUAUUGGCAUUUGAGGGAAUAACCAAAGGCAAGAAAACGAGUUUAAUCGAAUCCAGUGAUAUGAGGGAAGAAAACCACACAAAAAUAAUGCCAUCAUUGGUUUCUUAGCAGGUAAUUUUUACCCAUCCUCAACUUUGGCAGGUGUUUCACUUUCAUCCCCAUCUUCACUUUGUUACCUCAAAACCCCCAGCCUUCGUAAGUGUUACACUAAAAUUCCUGUAACUUCGAAAAUGUUACAAUAAAAUCCCUCUCAUCAUUUGGUCAAAUUUCCAAUAAGCAGUGUCACAUGUCCAAAAGUGUUGUAGGAGAACAGAGAUGAGUAAGGAUAACGGAAAGUAAAUCUGAUCUGUGUGACGAAAUUGUGGUAAAGGAGGUGUCAUGGAAUUUCUUUUUUAUUAUUAUUUUAUUUUUUUGACAGCAUAGCACUGCUACAUAAGCAUACCGACCCGAUUUUAGUGUAACGUUUUCAAAGUUUGGGGAUUUUAUUAGAACUAAAAUGAAAAUGAAAGACUAAAGUGAAACACUCUCAAAGUCAUUACCAAUUCUUCAGCAAUCAAACUCAAAGUUCAUAAGUAAGUUAAGUAAAAUUCAAAAAACAUAAAACUCAUAAUGGAAGUUCAUUCUUCUGGACUAAAACCCUGCAGCCCCAUUAGUUUGAGUCGAGCUAUUAUCUUGUAAGUUCAAACACGUAUCAAAAUUUCCAACAACACAGAAAAAAGGUAGAACAGUGAGAACCCAAUUCAAUCCCUAGUUCAUAAAGACCAAAUUGAAUACUAAAAUCACAAAUACGAAUCUAAAAUUAAUAGCAAUAACGAAAGAGAGAUUAUUUAAAGAGUUACCCUGAAGAAAGGAGCUUGAAAGAGGUUUAAUAACGACCCGUAUUGCAGUCCUUGAACUUUGCAUAAGUCUCUAGACUCUCCACGCUGCUCUGGGAGGCAGCCCUUUAACACCUAUUCCUCUUCCCGUUCAAGAGAUAAGAGGUCCACCGGAAGCAAGAACUCCAAUCAGCCCAUGGAUAAGAGGGAAAGACAGAAAACGGUAAUCGAUUU
rnacentral:misc_RNA from 1 species